AUGAACAAUAAUAGAGCUCCUGGUCCUGAUAAUAUACCAGCAGAGUUUUAUCAGCACUUUUGGGACAUUAUGAAAAAAUAUAUUAUGAGGCUCUUUACUGCUUUAUAUGAAGGAACUCUUGAUGUGCAUAGGCUGAACUAUGGGAUUAUUACGCUACUCCCUAAGAUCAAUGGUGCGAACAAAAUUCAACAGUUUAGGCCUAUUUGUUUGCUUAGAUGUCCAUAUAAGUUGAUUACAAAGGUGUUAGACAAUAGAGUGACCUUAUAUGCUGACAUUUUGUUUAGCAAACAUCAAAAUGCUUUUAUCAAACAUAGGAAUAUCAUGGAUGGGGUGUUGACCUUACAUGAGAUUUUACACCAUACUCAUGUUAAGAAGAAGGUUGGCAUCGUUAUCAAACUCGAUUUCGGAAAGGCCUAUGACAAGGUUAACUGGGACUUCCUGUUAAAAUGCCUUGAGAUUAGAGGGUUUGGAAAAACUUGGUGUAGCUGGAUGAAAAAGAUUAUUCAAAAUGGCAUUGUGAGUGUGAAAUUAAACAACACUUCGGGGCCUUACUUUCAGAGUUACAAAGGGGUUAGGCAGGGGGACACAGUGUCUUGA
rnacentral:rRNA from 1 species